rnacentral:lncRNA from 1 species
CUCGAUCCAUUGACCACCUUUACAUAAGCUCUUAAAUCUUAAUAGAGAUAUGGAUGGAGAUUUAGAAAAAAGAGAUGGAUACUUUAACCUUCUAGAAGACAGAGAGAAAAAAGAUCGUGCGUACAAUUGAAUCACAAUAUUGCCAUCAUUGAAAAAAGUGGGGAAUUAAGAGCGGCGGGUGAGCCAUCGUUAUCCAUAAAAGCAAUCUGCCAAGCAUCAUUUACCAAGACAAGACAGCAUCACGGGACGGCAAUAGCAGCCAUGCACCUAUACAUCGAGUGCGGCGUUGCAGAGGCCGGGCUCUAUUGAGCCCGUUUUGCUAAAAAAAUUCAAAAUAUACUUAAAAGUUUAUACAAAUACAUAUGCAUGUUUGUCAAGUAGGUAAAAAGUUUCAUCAUGUAAUUCAGUUAUUUGCGUGCUACACAAAAAAGAUAAAUAUCUGACAUAAAAACAACAAAGAUAUAGCCUAUAUUAAUCUGUGUAUUUAUCUUUUUCAUAUACACUACAUGAAAACAUAUAUGUUCAUGAAAUUUCAUACGUGUAUAAUACAAAUACACAUGUAUGUAUAGACUUUUUUUCAGAUUUUUUUAAUGUGUGAAAAUAGUAUUUUCGCUGAAAAAAAUAAAGAGCUAUGUGGAGCUCGGUCUCUGCAAUGCUUUUUCGCCCUAUACAUCACCUUUUUCAGCGAGAGAUUUCACCAGCUACGUGAACGGGGGAAAAGGAGGUAAAAAGAACGGGAACUCUGCCUCUCGCGUGGUAAAAAUGGAGCAAGCGGCGCAGGGGAGUGAACGGCCGGCCCGCAUUGAUCGUUUGCUGGCUUGAUUAC